GUUUAGGUCUAUCACUUUACUACAAGGUAUAUAGCACUUCAUCACCAAACGUGCACUGGAGCUCUACGGAAAGAGAGGAGAGGAGAGUCUUGUUCAUGUCGACGAACGUGAGAGCCAUGAAUAUUUGUUCAAAUUACUUUGAAGAGAGAGUGAAAAAACAAAGGGAAUGAAAAUGGGAUUUGGAGGUAUACGGCUGUGCUUGUCUCUCUUGCUGGCUUUUGCUGUAGUCUCUUCUGCUUUCAGGAACACCAUCAAUCCAUUUUCAGUUUCAGAUAACGACGAAAUGGUAAUGACGAUGGAGGGGAGGUCUUUGAUGGCGAGACUAGACGACUACGGUGACACGACUGCGAAUCGUGGGCAUGAUCCGCCAUCUACCUCCAAGGCCAAACCAGGCAAACUCCGUGGCCGAAAGGGCUAGCUCAUAUAAAUCUAUGGUGCAUGCUUAAUUAUUUCUUUAAUUUAUUGGUUUAAUCUCCAGCUUAAUUACAGGCUCUUGCGUUUUGAAUUGUAUCUGUAUGUGAGGUUACUUGUGUAAUACUUUGAAUAUGAAAUAAUAACCACUUUCUUCAAUCAGUUAAACA